rnacentral:rRNA from 1 species
CCUACGGGAGGCAGCAGUGAGGAAUAUUGGUCAAUGGGCGGGAGCCUGAACCAGCCAAGUCGCGGGAGGGAAGACGGUCCUAUGGAUUGUAAACCUCUUUAGGCGGGGAGCAAUGCCGGGCACGCGUGCCCGGAGGGAGAGUACCCGCAGAAUAAGCAUCGGCAAACUCCGUGCCAGAAGCCGCGGUAAUACGGAGGAUGCGAGCGUUAUACGGAUUUAUUGGGUUUAAAGGGUGCGUAGGCGGAUUUUUAAGUCAGCGGUAAAAUGUCCGGGCUCAACCCGGGCCGGCCGUUGAAACUGGUGAUCUUGAGUGGGCGAGAAGUAUGCGGAAGGCGUGGUGUAGCGGUGAAAUGCAUAGAUAUCACGCAGAACUCCGAUUGCGAAGGCAGCAUACCGGCGCCCGACUGACGCUGAGGCACGAAAGCGUGGGGAUCGAACAGGAUUAGAUACCCCGGUAGUC